rnacentral:tRNA from 1 species
GCAGUGUGGCAGGGUGGUAAGGUGCAGGGCUCGUAACCGAAAGGUUGCUGGUUCGAUUCCCCCGCUAGGGCG